UUCAUAAUUCAGAGUUAAGACGAGAUGAUGAUGUUUGAGUUGUGUGGCCCGCAGUUGCUGGUGUGUGCAACAUACAGCUUCUUCUUCUCCAUCUCCUGUGGCUGUUGCCACCCGAUGCGAAGAUGGUCCAUGCCUCCUGUAAUGCAGGUUCUUGUUGGCAGCAGAGUUUCAGACAAGAAAUAUCCCAGUCUACGCAUGCUGGCCGUACCCUGCAUGUGCUGCAACUGGAAUGGAGAGCCGACGGCAAGUUCACCGUUGUCCUACUGUUGGGUGAAUGCUCAAGGACCGACCCUAAUCUCACCAUUCGCUGUUCUGCUCCUUUUGAGUGAAUGCUCAAGCUGGGUUCCGAAGCAGACUGCAAUACCACCAAGAAUGGUGCGUGAAAUCGCCCAUGCUGCGUGAAUGUUUCUUCUUCAAAAGUCAGCACGCUGGUACCCCGCUCUUAUAAAGUUUUAACAUUUUGAGCUGAUCAUAACCUUCAUGCAAUCUAAUGCCACUAGAUUAGUUGUCAUAAUAUAUAGUCGGAGAAACCUUCUAAGCAAAGGCUUCAUACACACGGCUGCGUCAUCGCCUCAUCGAUCAUCAGGCCCAGCUCGCGCCUGUGUCUGAUCUGAUCGACCCAUGAUUACAUGCAGAUGGGGAUUGGAUCAGAAAGGUCAAAGAGACAGCCAACAAAUCAUGAAAGGGUCUCCGGUCCCUUCCCUGACGUGCCGGGCAGUCCCCUGCUCCGACAGAGACUACGGCAGCGUCCAUUCAAACCACGCCGGCUAAAGCAGCGUCACCGACACUUGUUCCCCUGCCACCACAUCCAACACAUACUGAAAUUUGAGGCACAAUCUUUCAAAAAAAAGUUUUUUUUUCGAGGCACAGCAUCAGCCUCUUCCCUAAUCCUCGCUCCCUGUUGACCAAAAUUUGUUAUUUUGUUCAUGUUGUUUCUCUCUUGCAAUUUCCAUAAACCGCACUAGCUUAAUGAUUGGUCACACGCACAUGAUGUAUUGAUGUUAGAAAUUUUUUGCCA